rnacentral:rRNA from 1 species
AGUGUAGGCGGCUAUUUAAGUCGGAUGUGAAAGCCCUGGGCUCAACCUGGGAAUUGCAUUCGAAACUGAAUAGCUAGAGUUUGGUAGAGGUAAGUGGAAUUCCGGGUGUAGCGGUGAAAUGCGUAGAUAUCCGGAGGAACAUCAGUGGCGAAGGCGGCUUACUGGACCAAAACUGACGCUGAGGCUCGAAAGCGUGGGGAGCAAACAGGAUUAGAUACCCUGGUAGUC